rnacentral:rRNA from 1 species
CCUUCCGUAGGUGAACCUGCGGAAGGAUCAUUACCGAGUGAGGGCCCUCUGGGUCCAACCUCCCACCCGUGUUUAUCGUACCUUGUUGCUUCGGCGGGCCCGCCUCACGGCCGCCGGGGGGCAUCCGCCCCCGGGCCCGCGCCCGCCGAAGACACACAAACGAACUCUUGUCUGAAGAUUGCAGUCUGAGUACUUGACUAAAUCAGUUAAAACUUUCAACAACGGAUCUCUUGGUUCCGGCAUCGAUGAAGAACGCAGCGAAAUGCGAUAAGUAAUGUGAAUUGCAGAAUUCAGUGAAUCAUCGAGUCUUUGAACGCACAUUGCGCCCCCUGGUAUUCCGGGGGGCAUGCCUGUCCGAGCGUCAUUGCUGCCCUCAAGCACGGCUUGUGUGUUGGGCUCUCGCCCCCCGCUUCCGGGGGGCGGGCCCGAAAGGCAGCGGCGGCACCGCGUCCGGUCCUCGAGCGUAUGGGGCUUCGUCACCCGCUCUGUAGGCCCGGCCGGCGCCCGCCGGCGAACACCAUCAAUCUUAACCAGGUUGACCUCGGAUCAGGUAGGGAUACCCGCUGAACUUAAGCAUAUCAAA